rnacentral:rRNA from 1 species
AUUGAACGCUGGCGGCAGGCCUAACACAUGCAAGUCGAACGAGUGGCGGACGGGUGAGUAAUGUCUGGGAAACUGCCCGAUAGAGGGGGAUAACUACUGGAAACGGUAGCUAAUACCGCAUACCAUCGGAUGUGCCCAUAUGGGAUUAGCUAGUAGGUGGGGUAAAGGCUCACCUAGGCGACGAUCCCUAGCUGGUCUGAGAGGAUGACCAGCCACACUGGAACUGAGACACGGUCCAGACUCCUACGGGAGGCAGCAGUGGGGAAUAUUGCACAAUGGGCGCAAGCCUGAUGCAGCCAUGCCGCGUGUAUGAAGAAGGCCUUAGGGUUGUAAAGUACUUUCAGCGGGGAGGCGUUACCCGCAGAAGAAGCACCGGCUAACUCCGUGCCAGCAGCCGCGGUAAUUC